UUUGGUGUUAAGAUUGUGAUGUCAUAAAAUGACUUGAGCAGCCUACCCUGUUUACUUUAAGAGCUGUAAAGUAGGAGGCUGGAGGAGAGAGUUAAACCAGAGGAAAGCAAGAUUUUAGACACGUGCGAAAGGGUCCUCAGUCCCUGCUCCUCUCUCAGGCUGAGACUUUAGAAUCCCAGAAACCACAAUGAAGUCUCUUGCCCGUGGUUCCCCCACCCUCCCUCUGCGUCCUAGCAACCCUGAUGCUUCCUCAUGUGGCCCUCUGAUGACAGGGAGUGCCUUGCAGAUCAACAAGUGGAAACCAAAAGCAAGGCUGAAGCCAGUGGAAAGAUGAAGGCAGGGACUGGUUAUUCCCUCUCCUGACACAUGGCCUGAAGGAGCCUUCCAAAAUACAGACACAACCUGGGAAAGGCAGAAAACAUCCUGCGUUGAUUGAGAAAUCCCUAAAAUCAAUGAGAUAAUCCUGAACUGAUCACGAAUAAACUGACAUGAAUGUAAAUUGGCUGAGAUUGAGUUUUUACCACCCACUAGAAUGCAGGCCUGAAACAGAAACUAGUAAAAGUAAAGAACAAUUAUAUUUCCUGUACCUGUGAACUUGUAGACUGCAAUAUGGAUACAU
rnacentral:lncRNA from 1 species